GACGAACGCUGGCGGCGUGCCUAAUACAUGCAAGUCGAACGCUGAAGGAGGAGCUUGCUUCUCCGGAUGAGUUGCGAACGGGUGAGUAACGCGUAGGUAACCUGCCUGGUAGCGGGGGAUAACUAUUGGAAACGAUAGCUAAUACCGCAUAAGAGUAGAUGUCGCAUGACAUUUGCUUAAAAGGUGCAACUGCACCACUACCAGAUGGACCUGCGUUGUAUUAGCUAGUUGGUGAGGUAACGGCUCACCAAGGCAACGAUACAUAGCCGACCUGAGAGGGUGAUCGGCCACACUGGGACUGAGACACGGCCCAGACUCCUACGGGAGGCAGCAGUAGGGAAUCUUCGGCAAGGGACGGAAGUCUGACCGAGCAACGCCGCGUGAGUGAAGAAGGUUUUCGGAUCGUAAAGCUCUGUUGUAAGAGAAGAACGAGUGUGAGAGUGGAAAGUUCACACUGUGACGGUAUCUUACCAGAAAGGGACGGCUAACUACGUG
rnacentral:rRNA from 1 species